GACGAACGCUGGCGGCGUGCUUAACACAUGCAAGUCGAACGGUGAACCAGAGCUUGCUCUGGGGAUCAGUGGCGAACGGGUGAGUAACACGUGGGCAACCUGCCCCAGACUCUGGGAUAACCUCGGGAACCGAUGCUAAUACCGGAUACGACCACUUCGGACAUCCGACGGUGGUGGAAAGUUUUUCGGUCUGGGAUGGGCCCGCGGCCUAUCAGCUAGUUGGUGGGGUAAUGGCCUACCAAGGCGACGACGGGUAGCCGGCCUGAGAGGGCGACCGGCCACACUGGAACUGAGACACGGUCCAGACUCCUACGGGAGGCAGCAGUGGGGAAUAUUGCACAAUGGGCGAAAGCCUGAUGCAGCGACGCCGCGUGAGGGACGACGGCCUUCGGUUGGUAACCUACUUUCAGCAGGGACGAAGCGAAAGUGACUGUACCUGCAGAAGAAGCACCGGCUAACUACGUGCCAGCAGCCGCGGUAAU
rnacentral:rRNA from 1 species